AGGACACAGUUUGGUUUAUAAGGAUUUAUAAAUGAAGUGAACAAAUUAACAGCCUAUGAGAUUUACACACUUUCCACGAUGUAUUACUAUUAUGUCCCUUUUAGGAUGAGAAAAUGAAAGCUCAAAGUGGUUCGAUAAUUUGCCUAAGGUCACACAGCUUGGAAAUGCCAGGGUCUGGUAGUUCCUCACAGCUCUUAGCAAAGUGGCUGCCAAAGAGCGGCCACAAAUAGCUGAGCGCAUAAAGAAUGACAGAAGUGCCAUCCAUCAGAGGUCUGGCUAACAAACCACAAAAGCCAUCCACAGAGGGCCGUAGGCCUUUUGGGCUGAGACUUUGGGGCAACUCCCGUCACAAGGCAGAGACUCGUUCCCACCUCUGGAUUCUGGGCUGGCCCUGCGAGCGCUCUGAUGAAUAGAAUACAGCAGAAAUGACGUUCAGGAGACGUCCCAGUUCAGGCAUCAAGCUCGGCACCAGCCACUUCCUCUUGGGAGCCCAGCCACUGUGAAGAAGUCCAAGCAGGUUAGAGGCCCCGGGGAGCGAGGCCCUGGAGGAUGAGGGACCCCAGCAGAACCGCCAGCAGAGACCAGCCGACCCACAGAGCUGGAGGAAAUAGCACACUGUUGUUUUAAACCAAUAGAUGGUAGGGUGGUUUGACGUGCAGUUAAUAGAGCCAAGAAACAGCUCUUCUGCCACCAGCAAUACCCUUGGAGCAGCACACGCUUGCCUGGAUGUUCCAAGGAGAGCCAGCCACGUCUCACCAGUGUCCCAGGCCCGGGCUGUGCUGGACAGGGAAGCAGGCCUCAGGUUCCACCCCACCGGGACCGUUCAGCCUCCUCUUUCACAGCGGUGGGGGUAGUGGCUCCCGCUCGGGGUCUGAACAAGACCCACAGAGCGUCGUUUUGAGCCCCGCCCGCCUUUAGCCUGCGUGCCACAGGAGGGACCAAAAGCUGGAGGCGCCGAGGGAAACAGGGCAGCCGAGGAAGGCGGGCAUGGUGGCUCUUUGGAGAAGGUUUCCCCUUUGGGGCACCAGCCCUGGCUCCACAGUGAGGUCAAGUGGGAGGGCAGAGUAAGCAAGCAAAGUGGGGACACUGAGGCAGAAGCCCCCCUCCCAACUCUUCCGGCUGUGUAUCAGUUUCCUACUGCUGCUGUAACAAAUUGCCCCCAACUUGGUGGCUUUAAACAACACGAGUGUAUCAUCUUACGGCGCUGGAGGUCAGAAGGCCAAGAUGGUCUCAGAGGACUAAAACCAAGCCGGGGAGGUAUGUACCGUCUGCAGGCUCUAGGGGGAGAGUCCGUGCCUUGACCGAAGCCGGAAACGGCUUCUAGAAGCUUGUGGCCACAUCACUCCAGUGGCCGUGUCUACCAUCACAUCUUCUCUAGCCCUCCUGCCUUCUCAUGAAGACCCUAUGAGGACAUCCACCCACCUCCCACUUAAUCCAUGUCAAGGAUCUCAACUUAUUCACAUCUGCAAAGCCUCUUUUGCCGUCCGUGUGAGGUAAUAUAAUCACAGGUGGCAAGAACUAGGACGUGGACAUCUGUGGGGGGGUCACUCUUCUGCCGACCGACCGUGCGGUGAGAAGUCAUUCGUUCACCCAUUCCGUGUGUAGUUUUGAACACCUACGGCCGUGUACAAAGACUGUGUUGGAUAAUGCUGGGGAUGCAGCGGCUCCCAGGGCUGUGCAUGCACUAACUCAUUCAAUCUUCACGGGAUCCCUACGAGGUGAAGGCUUUACCAGUAUGAGUCUACAAUACCACGGGGGAAACUGAGGCAAAGAAUAGUUAGACAACCUGCCUGUGGUGACAGAGCUAAUAAGUGGCAAAGAGCAUCCAUCAGGGCCCCAACCAGAAACAGAUGAAACACUCAACUCAGGAUAAUCAAGGAGGCUUUAUUUGCAAUGAACUGUUUACAAAGGUAUAGGAAGCGGUAGGGAAACCUCGAGGGGUUGUGCAGGAACCCCGGGUUAGAAGCAGGGAGCUGUCACCAGCCAGAGGAAACCUGGGAGGACAGUCACGUAAACACUGGCUCAAGAGAAGUGACCUUGGGACGAGGGGCACAGCCAGCCCGAGAUGGACCUCACGGUGCCAGGGGAAUAAAUUCACUGAGCUUCUUCUCUCUCUUCCCCUGACCUCCUGGGGGGCUCCCCACUGGCCCCACCUGACCACAGCCAGAGGGUGAGAGAGGGUAGGAUCAGCAUGGAGAGUGGACCCAGAGGGAAACAGAAAACAUCACGCCCCAGAACUGGGCGUCUAGGCUUUGAACAUCCAACAGCCCAGCCUCUCAUCUUGUGGGUCCUGGUUCAGCCUGACCACAAGGCUCCUCACCUGGUGGGCCCCAGGCUCAGGGUGACAUCAGGGCUUGAUGACCUCAUAGUAUAGACCAACAGCCUGGAAACACUGGCCUUGGUAAUCCUAUCUCUGGGAUUCUAGCCUAAGGAAUGCUAAAGCCCAUAAUACUUGGGAUUCUUUUAAUUCUCUGCUAGGGAGGGCUGACCCACUGCCCACAGCGUGCACACAGUCUUGGCCUUGGCCCCACGGAGCUCGGCCAGGAAACCCCAGGGGACAGACAUCCUUGAAGACUGAUGGCGAAAACUGAUGUAAAAGGCCACAAACUGAUCACCGCCUUGGUAUCACGCAGGCCACGUGGGGACACAGUGAGAAAUCAGCCACUGGCAAGCUGAGGAGACAGGCCUCAGAAGAAGCCAAAUCUUCCAACACCUUGGUGUCUGACAUGCAGCUCCCAGAACUGUGAGAAGUAAAUGUAAGCCCCCCCGCCAACCCAUGCCACAGUGCUCUGUUGUGGCGACCCUAGCAGACCGACACACCCACCCACCCACCCCCCCAAAGCAGAAUAGACUUGUGCCCCCUGGCACGCCAGGCUUCAAGGAAAUGUCUGCUGUGUCACCCCCCACACGUUGAGGUGGCUGUCCACUCACACGCCCACCUGCCCCGAGAGCCUGGGAGCUCCCCAAGAACCACGUCUAGGUCUCUGUUGUCUCACCCCAUCCUAAAUGGCGGGUGUCAGGAGGGGGUAACUGAGAUGACACGUGUAAAGCCCUCCGCGUGGAGCCGCGAGGGCUCAGCGCCCAGUGCGUCUGGACCCCCGGGCCACCGCUCACCUGCUCAUGCCCCCAGCUGGGCCACGACAGGUGCUCUUGAGGAACUGCUGAGCUGAGUUGAAAGACGGGCUGUGAGCAACUGAAUAUACAUGCAGACAACGGCCAAACCGAACAUAAAAACAGAACUGUGGCCCACAGCCUGCAGCACCCUGCCCAGAGAGCCAACCCACUAGCCACGGUAACCAGCCGAGGCGGCCAGUCUGCUCCAGGUCCGACUUGCAGGGAGUCAGACUGCCAUCUCUUCUGACGGUCCAGGAAGCCCUGUAACACUCCCGUAACAACUGGCCCCAAACAGCCGGGACUUGACUACUGACAAUGUCUCUGAUUUUUAUUCCAAUUUCCAACUUAGGGCUAACUCCGGAAAGCCAAAAUGCACCCUAACCAGUCACGUAGGAUGCCCCCUGCAAGCUGGCCUGCCUCCAGCUUCGCCUUUUAUCCUCUACAAAGCUUUCCUGCCCCUCCGCUGCCUUUGAGUCUCUCCUCGAUGCCGCCCGCCAGCUGCUCACUCCCCUGCGGGAGCCAGCUUGGAGUAAACAGCCUGUGCUUCUCA